ACAGCCUUGCCGCAGUUGAGCUCAGACGUGGUUCGCGACGUCAGCGCCGCUUUUUCGGCUCGUAACGUUGAAUUAACCGUGAGCUUAUUUUGACGGCUUGCCCGCUUGUGCCGUUGUUUUCAAUCAAAGCGCGAAAAAACGUGACUGCGCUGUUGUAAACGUAAACUGCGUACUAUCAGAGCUUAAUCCACGCCCUUUUUGAACGCUCCACGCUGGUGACACUCGAAUUAGUGUCCCGAGUGGCCAGCGAGGAGAUAGCGAGGCGGCGAUAAGAGUUGUUGGAAUCGGGCGAUAAGCCCCGGUUUCCUACACAAGUUGAACAGCUCUCCCUUGGCUAACAGACUCAUGGGUCCGGCCAAAUCUCACCGGCGAUGCAGUUCCGGCAGCGGGCAGCCUGGGUCGCACUCUUCCUCUACCUCGGCUGCGGAUUCCUCUGCCUGACGCCUCUGUUUCAACUGACGAACCGCGAUACCCUGUUGCGCGUUCAAGCUCCCAGCGGAGCUCCGGCUGCGAAGUUCGCACCGAACAAUGUUCCGAGCACGGUGCUUGUCGUCGUCGCAAUCCUCCUCUACGUCCAAGGAUUCGCGGUGUUGCUCGCAUGUACGAGGACGGACACGAAGUCACGACUGGUGAAGAGCAUGUUUCCGUUUCUGCUGUGCGCCGUGUGGACGACGUUGCGGAAGAAACAGAGACGUGACAGCGGCGAGAAGUUUGGUGUCGAAGCGGAGCCAGUUGAACUCCUAGUGUGAUAUCUCGUUCACACGGAAGCACUUAAGAUUGUGAUCGACUUCACUUAGGAUCGAAGUUCUCAAUCGCGAUUGGCUCCUAUCUGCAGCUUCUGCGAAGGAACCAAUAGUGUUUGACCAAAUUUGAUCCUGACCAACUGUCGAUCUCGAUCCACGCAUCUAGGUAUUAUGAACUUGGCGUAUUGCUGUGGGCACUCAACGAAUCGCACCAUGUGCUCCUCUGAGCUAAUCGACGUGAUCACCCUCAUCUGAGCCAAUCAGCAUGAAGUAAGAUGAAUUCAUUAAUGGUCCAGUACUUCAUCUAGCAUCUACCCAGUGAAGCUUUAACCUUUAUCGCUGUAAGCAUUGAACAAUCACUACAUGUGAGUGCAUUUUGCCGGAUGGAAGUAUUAAUGAGAUGGCCAGACAUAUGCCCAGCGAAUCGUUUAUAUGAGAGAGCAUUUAGGGAACAUUUAUAGGUCACCAUUACGAGCUUCUUUACACAGAGCGCCGAACUCCAAAAACACAUAAAUGUGUCGUUUCAGGUAUUUCUACACGUGCCUUUGAACAAGUGCAAUAUGUUUUUACUUGUUUGUGCCAUGUUCUGUUUAUAUGGUGAGAUUCAAAAAGCCAUGACUGGAACGUUUCUCAUGAGUGCGUGUGCAAAUUCUCUUCAAAUGCUCUGCUUUGUGUGUUAUACAUAGCUCCAAACACGAACUGGCUUUGUUAAAAUGUUAUGAAUGCUCAAAAAAAAUUUUUUUGCAGAGAUACAAAAAUGUACAUAUAAAUAUCUUGGUUUCACAGUUUAUUCAGCAGCAGUACUUUUGACUGUGAGAACGAAGUCUUUGAUUAUAAACCAAAUGAAAUUUUUUAUUAGGGAGAAUGUUACUUAAUGUAAGCUAGUCUAAGGUGGUGUUUAGUAUUUUAAAGCCGCUGCAUUAACGCAACUGUUAAUAUCAGUGAAUAUGUCAAAAUGUUUUGAUGCACAACAAAAGUUGGCAUGCUGUAUUAGCCAUUUUAACCUUUCCCAUGGUGCAUUUGGAAAAGUUUUGAAGCUCAGAAAUGGUUCAUAACGCAAGACCAGCUUUAGAGCAGUGUAUGAAGCCACAUCUGCGAGCAAGACUUGUUUAAUCCAUCAUAAUCACUUUAAGAUUUGGAUUUCUUUUUAUGCGAUUUAACUGCACGAAAAUGAAAUAUGCCGAGCUAAGCUCACUGAAUUGCACUGUGGAUGCUUGUUUCUUCUUCCGUCAUUUUUUUUUUCAUUUUUGCUUGUUGCCAUGUGUUUGAGAUUCUCUCUGAAACACACACAGAAACAAUGUUGAACGUGUUAGUCCUGUUCACAGACUUGCCUACGUAAACUGCCAUGUAUGAAAGAAACACAAAACACAUCGUUUAAAAGAAGUGUUUCUCUGUUUGCUACAGUGAUGUUGUAAUCACCUUUUAAUAUCACCUUCAGACGACUUCAACAUUGACUUCGGAUCAAUGUAGCACACGCAGCUAAAGGUUGAAUCAAUCCACCGCCAUUGCUUGUCUGUCACUGGAAACAGCUGUACACGUCAUCACAGCAUAACUGACCAACAUUUUGCCCUUUCUGUGUCAAGACAAGAAACCUUUGUGAAGCGUGUGACUCGUUACGAUUUACAACUUGCAAGGCAUCAGUUGUGAGGCAUUUUUAUUGUCAUGAGCUAAAGCUACAACGCAAUGUCAUCACUGUAUAUUUUUGUUGUGGAUAUCCCGUCGCGUUUUUUUUAUUAUUAGCCAACUUACUGCAUUUGGAAAGGUCAACUGUAUUUUACUUACACAGCUCCAUUCAUGGUGCACGAUGCUGACUAAAUGCUACGCUGCACAUUUACAAAUUUCCAGAAAAUGAUCUGCCACUGAAAUGCCCAAAUACGUCUGUCUUUUCUAUUUACGGUUGAACCCUGUGGUAACGAACUUAAAUGUAACGAAGUCUGAAAUGUCUCUUCCUCAAUAUUUGCAUUCAGCAAACACAUGCUUACGCUGAAUAUCAGGUUACAAGAGUUACCUUUGCGUUGUAUCCUAAUUCGUUACGAUGUGAUUCAACAGUUGUUGCAUUGUAGUCAUGCAUUUAGUCACGCGAGAUGUGCAAAGCAAUUGUGAUAUUCGAUGCUUGUCAUGAUAGAAACCAAAUAAAGAAAGUUGUCAUUGAAUU
rnacentral:lncRNA from 1 species